AUAAAGUGAACUUAACUUUUCCACUGAGUGUUAUAUUUUCAUUCAGUAGUAAUCGGUUAUUAGUAGGUGCUACCCGACUUGGUUAUCGGCGUCUGUAAGAUCCACUAUCGGUCAGCCUUUAAAAUAGAUUAAUGUGUAUGACAUGUUCUUCUUUAAUUAAUAAAGAAAUGCACUUGUUGACAACUUGCUGUGGUAUAAGGGGAAUAAAACACUUCAGAAUGUGCAGUUCUACCUUAGGGUGGUAACGGUCACUCCACUUCAUUGGAUUGUUGACUACUUUCCUAUAACCGCAUGUUUAUUCCUUACAUAAAUUAAACACAAAUCAUGUAGGGGUUCUACAUGCAUGUAAUAUUUGCACAAUCAAUAACCUAUUAGAGUAAUACAUUGUGGUAUAUAAACUGAACUUUGUGUUUGAUGUGUCUGUAGUGUCCAAAGCCCAUGGUGGUGGCAGUGCAUGGCGUGUGUGUGGGAGCAGGUCUGUUGGGAGUGUUAAGUACCAUCUCAUACACUCAGCAAACAAUAUGGAUGGAACUUUCCAGAGUUGUGGUGUCACUUUCCUGCAAAGCUUUAACCAUCAGAGAGUUAUCUUUUACUGGGGCUUUUAGCUGCAGGAGACUGAAUUACUAACAGUUUUUUUUUUGUGGAUCUGAUUUCUUCUUUCGCAGGAGUGGAUCUAAUCACAGCCUGUGAUAUUCGUCUGUGCACACAGGAUGCCUGGUUUCAGGUGAAGGCGUGUGUUGCCUGAUAGUCAAUGAUUGCUGGAGCUCUGGAAAUAGCAGGUGAGAUUGCAGGCCGGAGUCCCGUCGCUGUCCAGGGAACCAAAAUCAACCUCCUCUACUCCUGAGACCACAGUGUGACUGAGAGCCUAGACUACAUGGCUACUUGGAACAUGAACAUGUUGCAGACACAGGAUCUUAUGAAGUCAGCGCAGGCAGCCCUGGAAAAGAAGAGUCUGAAAGACGUGCCCUUCUCCAAGCUUUAAAGGAGAAGAUCCAGGGAUGUUGAAGCUGUGGUGGAACUGAGACUUCAUCAUCUACAUAUUUUUAGUUCUUCUUGCUAAGUCUGAGUUUCUUUUUAGUCUUUUUAUUUUUAGACUGGUCAAAAGACUGAUUAGUGGAAGUGAAAUGAUAGAUGAACUUUUAAUUACUUGCUUUAUUAUUUGCAGGUGCCUUGUACAGUAAGACAGGGUAACUAAUACUCAAAAGCAUGUUUUGUGUGUUAACAUGUACAGUAGAUGUACAUAUUUUUUCUGGUGCUGUGUGACUGCAGAAUGUAGUGCAGUUAGCACAUUAAAUUUCCUUGGAUGCUCACUUUUAACUCGAGGAGGUCACAGUUUGCCCAGACACCUUUUUUUAAAUCCGUCAAUCCGUCACCCACGUCAUUCUGGGGGAAGAAGAGGAGGAAGCUGGACAGUUAAAUUUAUUUAUUUAUUUAUCAUUGCUGUGGUUCCUCAAUCGAGUGCAGAAAGAAGAAAAACAACACAACUGAUUUAAAAUAAAAAUAUAGAAAACAAUCUAAUGUAAGGUUCUGAUCCGGUUUGCUUUCAGCAGGAAGGCUGUCCUCUUUCCUGUUGCUCUUUCCCUUCUAUUAGUCCAUUUGUCCAGUCUGAAUCGGUUUGAUUUGUUUCGAGACGAUUCGGAGUCAAAUAAUUUUCUAGUGAGAGUCGCACACUUCCAAACGAACUAGACUGAGAUGAGUAUUUGAUUCUCACUAGAAAGUGAUUCGACUCUGAAUCAACUCGAAAUGAAUCAGUCAAACUGAUUCAGACUCUAUAAAAGGACUGUGAGAUGUGAUUAAGAUAUAUAGUCCAAUGUUUUGCUUUACAAUUCCACUGUGUGUGUUUGUGUGUGUGUGUGUGUGUGUGUGUGUGUGCGCGCACGUGUGU